UGGGGAAUAUUGGACAAUGGGGGCAACCCUGAUCCAGCCAUGCCGCGUGUGUGAAGAAGGCUUUCGGGUUGUAAAGCACUUUCAGUGAGGAGGAAAAGUUGGUCGUUAAUACCGGCCAGCCUUGACGUUACUCACAGAAGAAGCACCGGCUAACUCCGUGCCAGCAGCCGCGGUAAUACGGAGGGUGCAAGCGUUAAUCGGAAUUACUGGGCGUAAAGCGCGCGUAGGUGGUUUGAUAAGCGAGAUGUGAAAGCCCCGGGCUUAACCUGGGAACGGCAUUUCGAACUGUCAGGCUAGAGUAUGGUAGAGGAGUGUGGAAUUUCCUGUGUAGCGGUGAAAUGCGUAGAUAUAGGAAGGAACACCAGUGGCGAAGGCGGCACUCUGGACCAAUACUGACACUGAGGUGCGAAAGCGUGGGGAGCAAACAGG
rnacentral:rRNA from 1 species